AGUGAACGCUGGCGGUAGGCCUAACACAUGCCAGUCGAACGGCAGCACAGUAAGAGCUUGCUCUUACGGGUGGCGAGUGGCGGACGGGUGAGGAAUACAUCGGAAUCUACUUUUUCGUGGGGGAUAACGUAGGGAAACUUACGCUAAUACCGCAUACGACCUACGGGUGAAAGCAGGGGAUCUUCGGACCUUGCGCGAUUGAAUGAGCCGAUGUCGGAUUAGCUAGUUGGCGGGGUAAAGGCCCACCAAGGCGACGAUCCGUAGCUGGUCUGAGAGGAUGAACACACAAAGGGGAAGUGAAACAGGGACAAGAGGACAAGGGGAGGAAGAAGGGGGGAAUAUGGGACAUGGGGGGAAAGCAGAACCGAGCAAAAGCGGGGGGUGAAAGAAGGCUUUGGGUUGGAAAAGCCUUUUUGUGGGGAAAAAAAAGAAGAGGGUUAAAACCCAGGGGUUGUGAGGGUACCAAAAAAAAAAGCACCGGCAAACUACGUG
rnacentral:rRNA from 1 species